rnacentral:piRNA from 1 species
CCAUAUUUGGCACCAGGUAUGCACGUAACU